AUGAGCUCCACUGGUGCAUUAAUCAUGCCUGGUAUUAUGUCUGGAAUGUAUUCCUUCCGGUGGGUUCUUGGUCUUGCUGACUUCAAGAAUGAAGCCGCGGACCCUUGUGAAAGGAUCAUUCCUGCUCUAAGAUGGCCGACUAGAUGCAGCCAGGAGGAACAUCUCCCACAGAGGGACCAGAACACUGGGAAGAGUGGCACACUCCUAGCAGAUCUUCAGAGGGACGGCAUCGAGGUUGUACAGAAAGAAGACACAAAUGCUGGGCUGAAGCAAGAGGAUGCUGGAAAUGCUGCACGGGGCUACCAUGCAUUGGCUUUCAUUCCUGGCCCCCAGUGAUUCCUGCCAAAAGGAGAUGGGGUCUUGCUAUGCUACCCAGGCUGGUCUAAAAUUCCUGUCCUCAAGCAGUCCUCCUGUCUUGGCCUCCCAAAGUG
rnacentral:lncRNA from 1 species